rnacentral:rRNA from 1 species
AUUGAACGCUGGCGGCAGACCUAACACAUGCAAGUCGAACGAGUGGCGGACGUGUGAGUAAUGUCUGUGCAACUGCCUGCUGGAGGGGGAUAACUACUGGAAACGGUAACUACUACCGCAUUCCAUCGGAUGUGCCCAUAUGGGAUUAGCUAGUGGGUGGGGUAAAGGCUCACCUAGGCGACGAUCCCUAGCUGGUUUGAGAGGAUGACCAGCCACACUGGAACUGAGACACGGUCCAGACUCCUACGGGAGGCAGCAGUGGGGAAUUUUGCACAAUGGGCGCAAGCCUGAUGCAGCCAUGCCGCGUGUGUGAAGAAGGCCUUCGGGUUGUAAAGCACUUUCAGCGAGGAGGCGUUACUCGCAGAAGAAGCACCGGCUAACUCCGUGCCAGCAGCCGCGGUAAUAC